rnacentral:rRNA from 1 species
CUAAGUUUGAUGGCGACCGGCGCACGGGUGAGUAACACGUAUCCAACCUGCCGAUGACUCGGGGAUAGCCUUUCGAAAGAAAGAUUAAUACCCGAUGGCAUAGUUCUUCCGCAUGGUAGAACUAUUAAAGAAUUUCGGUCAUCGAUGGGGAUGCGUUCCAUUAGGUUGUUGGCGGGGUAACGGCCCACCAAGCCUUCGAUGGAUAGGGGUUCUGAGAGGAAGGUCCCCCACAUUGGAACUGAGACACGGUCCAAACUCCUACGGGAGGCAGCAUG